AGAGUUUGAUCCUGGCUCAGGAUGAACGCUGGCGGCGUGCCUAAUACAUGCAAGUCGAGCGAACGGACGAGAAGCUUGCUUCUCUGAUGUUAGCGGCGGACGGGUGAGUAACACGUGGAUAACCUACCUAUAAGACUGGGAUAACUUCGGGAAACCGGAGCUAAUACCGGAUAAUAUUUUGAACCGCAUGGUUCAAAAGUGAAAGACGGUCUUGCUGUCACUUAUAGAUGGAUCCGCGCUGCAUUAGCUAGUUGGUAAGGUAACGGCUUACCAAGGCAACGAUGCAUAGCCGACCUGAGAGGGUGAUCGGCCACACUGGAACUGAGACACGGUCCAGACUCCUACGGGAGGCAGCAGUAGGGAAUCUUCCGCAAUGGGCGAAAGCCUGACGGAGCAACGCCGCGUGAGUGAUGAAGGUCUUCGGAUCGUAAAACUCUGUUAUUAGGGAAGAACAUAUGUGUAAGUAACUGUGCACAUCUUGACGGUACCUAAUCAGAAAGCCACGGCUAACUACGUGCCAGCAGCCGCGGUAAUACGUAGGUGGCAAGCGUUAUCCGGAAUUAUUGGGCGUAAAGCGCGCGUAGGCGGUUUUUUAAGUCUGAUGUGAAAGCCCACGGCUCAACCGUGGAGGGUCAUUGGAAACUGGAAAACUUGAGUGCAGAAGAGGAAAGUGGAAUUCCAUGUGUAGCGGUGAAAUGCGCAGAGAUAUGGAGGAACACCAGUGGCGAAGGCGACUUUCUGGUCUGUAACUGACGCUGAUGUGCGAAAGCGUGGGGAUCAAACAGGAUUAGAUACCCUGGUAGUCCACGCCGUAAACGAUGAGUGCUAAGUGUUAGGGGGUUUCCGCCCCUUAGUGCUGCAGCUAACGCAUUAAGCACUCCGCCUGGGGAGUACGACCGCAAGGUUGAAACUCAAAGGAAUUGACGGGGACCCGCACAAGCG
rnacentral:rRNA from 1 species